rnacentral:snoRNA from 1 species
UAGACUAUACUUUCAGGGAUCAUUUCUAUAGUCUGUAACCUAACAGGGACCACUUGGCCCUGCGACCAUUGAGCCAAAUGUGACU